rnacentral:rRNA from 1 species
GUGCAUGGCUAUAACACUCUGAACGUGCCCAAUCUUGGAAACUAAGCAGGGGCCAGCCUGGUUUGUACUUGGAAGGAAGACUGCUUUGUUGAUUCUUGGUAUUUAUGCACC